GAUGAACGCUGGCGGCGUGCCUAAUACAUGCAAGUAGAACGCUGAAGGAGGAGCUUGCUCUUCUGGAUGAGUUGCGAACGGGUGAGUAACGCGUAGGUAACCUGCCUGGUAGCGGGGGAUAACUAUUGGAAACGAUAGCUAAUACCGUAUGACAACAGUUAUUGCAUGAUAACUGUUUAAAAGGGGCAACUGCUCCACUACCAGAUGGACCUGCGUUGUAUUAGCUAGUUGGUGAGGUAACGGCUCACCAAGGCGACGAUACAUAGCCGACCUGAGAGGGUGAUCGGCCACACUGGGACUGAGACACGGCCCAGACUCCUACGGGAGGCAGCAGUAGGGAAUCUUCGGCAAUGGACGGAAGUCUGACCGAGCAACGCCGCGUGAGUGAAGAAGGUUUUCGGAUCGUAAAGCUCUGUUGUAAGAGAAGAACGAGUGUGAGAGUGGAAAGUUCACACUGUGACGGUAUCUUACCAGAAAGGGACGGCUAACUACGUG
rnacentral:rRNA from 1 species